rnacentral:miRNA from 1 species
AUAUGAAUCACCUGGGGACCUUGUUAAAAAACAGAUUCUGAGUCAGUUGGUUUAAGGUGAGACCUGAAUUCAGCAAUUCUAACUAGCUCCCAGUGGGGGCGGG